CUACGGGUUGCUGCAGCAAGGAAUAUUGGGCAAUGGGCGAAAGCCUGACCCAGCGACACCGCGUGGGGGAAGAAUGCCUUCGGGUUGUAAACCCCUUUUCCCGGGGAAGAAAUACAUGACGGUACCCGGGGAAUAAGCCUCGGCUAAAUACGUGCCAGCAGCCGCGGUAAUACGUAUGAGGCGAGCGUUAUCCGGAUUUACUGGGCGUAAAGCGGGUGUAGGCGGCCUGUCAAGUCGGAUGUGAAAUCUCCCGGCUCAACCGGGAGGGUGCGUUGGAAACUGAUGGGCUAGAGUGCAGUAGAGGAAAGCGGAAUUCUCGGUGUAGUGGUGAAAUGCGUAGAUAUCGAGAAGAACACUAGUGGCGAAGGCGGCUUUCUGGGCUGUAACUGACGCUCAGACCCGAAGGCGUGGGUAGCAAACAGGAUUAGAUACCCGAGUAGUC
rnacentral:rRNA from 1 species